CUAUUUUAAGACAGACACUGACCUAGAUUUGGUUUAGAAGAGAAGCAGCAAACCAGGAGAUUGGAAUCAUAUCAUAAAAAGAAUGACUAAAGAAACUAAAGAAGAUGUAACUUUGGAGAAGAACUAUAAUCCCCUUAAGAUAUUUGAAGGAAUCUCAUGUAAAAAUACUGUUACUAUUACCUCAUGGGAUUGGAGAGUCAGCAAUGAGUAUAACCCAAUGAUGGCAUAAACUAUAUCAUGAAGAAGAUCCCUCACUCUUGGAGGUAUCCAGGUAGACCCUUGAUGAUGGACAUUGCUUUAGGUACCAUAGAUCUAAAUUCUAGAUCUAGAAUCCCAUUUUCUAUUUUCACAUGAUGGCUUGUGAAUGCAAGAAAGGUGGAAGAUUAAUUCUACAGAUUGACUUCCAAUUGGUUUGGAGGGGCUCCAAAUCUUUCUUGAAGCUUUCUGAUAAUUUUAGGAUGAGAGGAAGGGAGUAGCAAUCAUAAAUUCUUGGUUUUCAGAACAAUGGUGAGAAGGAAGAUGAAGACUGAGGGUGUAGAAGAGGAGUGGUCAUCACUACCAACCAACAUAUCAUAAAGCAGGCUGCCUGGAAGAAAGGAGACCAAAGACCUUUAGGAAGUUAGAAAAAUUCCACUCAACAUUAUUUAUUAAGGGACCACAGCAUUCUUGGGGGCUUUGUUCUAGGGCUACAAUGAUGAACAAAAAUAUCAGUGUUUUCCAAUUUAUUAUUUUGAGUCUCCAGAGCCAGAGAAAAGAUUUGGAUUUUAAUAUUUUGGAAGAAUUCAUUGAAGGAAAUUUCAAACAAGUUACCCAGAAACAACACUUCAGGAAAUGGGAGAGAUAUGAGGGACAAAUGAUCCAUUGCAGAAGGCGUGGGGGUAUUUCUAAAAAUAAGUGGACUGCAGCCCUAAACAGGCUUGUCAUGAAGUUGAUGGAGAAUCCACUGAAAUGGGGAAGCUCAUCCAGCCGUGACCUCCGUUCUCAGUGGAGCCUGCUGGAUGCACCUAGGGCUGUGAGAGUCGAAGAUAACCCACAGCCUACUCUGACGCUCUCCACCCGCACAGCUUCCAGAAGCAGGGGAACUCCACAGUCCUUCUGUCCCCACGCUGGCCUGCGUCUGACUUCCUCUAGAAAACAGCUGUCUGAUUGUUAGGAAGCCUCCAGCCUGCCUUCCAAGAGAACGAGGCUCCUUUGCUCAGAAUGAGUCAUCAAGUCUACUUGCAACCCGCCUAAUUGGUGUGUACCCUGGCAUCGGCUCCCCGCAGUCAGCCGGGGCGGUGUGGCUCGAACUUAUGAUUCACAGUAUCCUCCAGUUAGGUCUCUGGCCUGUUUGUGUUUGCUACAGGCUCGCUCCAGGUCACCAUGCAUUUUUUCCUCCUCUGUCAUCAUCAAAACCACUAGCAGCCAUGUAGCGCCUCACGCUUGCCACGUCCAGCUACCUUACUUGCUUGCCUUUGUUCCCAGAACGUCCCUCUCCCCAGUCGGUUCCCACCACUAUUUCCUCCAAGCUCAACCCUUGUUCACUUGGGAUAAGUUUGCUCCCCAGGUGAUAUUUGGAAAUGUCUCAAGAUCUCCUGUAAUUGGCCUAACCUGAGGAAAGGAGCUACCUGGGUGGGGGCCAGGCACACUGAUCAAGAUCUUAACAGCGCUCGGGCCAGUCCCCACCGGCCUGGAUGGCACAGGGCAAACCCUUAAUGUCGCCAAGAUUGGGAGAUCUCCACUCUCACUUGUCCCCAUUCUUCAAGUCUCAGUUCAAAUCUCACCUCCUCUGGAAACUGCCCUGCCCCGUACUUCUCAGUAGAUGGGUCGGGUGUGAACUCUCCCAAGCUUUUUCCUUCUAGUCCUGGGUAUGUGUUCUUUCUCCAGCGUUUCCAUGCUGUAGCAAAUUGCCUUUGGGCUUCUAUCCUUUUCCUCAACUGACUGGAAGCUCCUGCGGAGCUGGGGGCAGGGUCUGUUUCAUCCACGCAUGGCUAGAGCUCACACUAGGGCCUAGCUGGUUGUAAGGUUUUUUUUUGAAAUGUUGGAAUACUUGAAUGAAAGAGGAACAAUCUUGUUUUAAGCUUUAUGACUUUGCUUUUCCUCUAAUUAUUUGGCUGCAUUAGAGACAUCUUGCUGAUCCUCUUGAGAAUGUUUAAAUACAGAACAAGUGGUUUUCAUCUUCUUACAUUUCAUUAUGACUGUUCUAGGGCAUCUCAGCAGUGAUGGCAUCUUUGAUGAUAAACUUUGGAUGGUGAUAACAGUAUACAUUUGAAGCUAAUACCAAGCCCAUCUUUCACUGCUAAUAAUCUACUAUAUUGGAAUUAUUUUCAGAUGAAAGUCACUAAAGUCAGAUUGCCUUUGUUCACAUCUGGGAUCUGCCACCUACCACCUGUAUGAACUCAAGCAAAUUAAACUCUAUGCCUCAAUUUUCUGUCAAAAAAAAAAUGGAGGUAGGCAUAAUACAGGAUGGUUAUUAACACAAAUGGAAGCACAGUCUGAUAUCAACCCCUCAUUACUUGUCAUGAAUGCAUCAAGCCAGGUAGCUGCAGCUCAUUCUAACAUGUUACUCUAUUGCACUCCUGAAGAGAAAAGAAUGGAACUAUGUUAAAAGAUAAGAGUAUUCACAAUUUACCCACUAUGUGUCGUGAUCAAGCCAAAAUAACUCUUCAGAACUCACCAAACUUUUUUUUUUUUAAGAUUUUAUUUAUUUAUUCACGAAAGACACACAGAGAGAGGCAGAGACACAGGCAGAGGGAGCAAUAGGCUCCACGUAGGGAGCCUGAUGUGGGACUCGAUCCGGGGACUCCAGGAUCAUACCCUGGGCCAAAAGCAGACACUAAACCGCUAAGCCAUCCAGGGAUCCCUCACCAAACUUUUUACAGGCAGGUGAUGGAGUGUCAGAUAAUCUUGGCACAAUCCAAAAACCACUGAUCAUCUACAGUUACCACUGCUGCUGCAUUCUAAUUUUUCUGCUUCAAACAGUGGCAUUUUAAUCAUUCUGCCCAUAGCAACUAAUGUCCUUUAAAUUAGCAUUAAAAAUUCAUUCUUUUGGUUUAUCCUUCCUGAAUCAAGCUAAUUAGCUAUCAGCUGAGAGCCCUUUAAAUUAUAACCUGAGUAUGUAACAUUUUCUAAUUUAUAAUGCCUCAUCUAGGCAAAUUGAAAAUCCAAAAAGGAGUGAAUUAAUUAAUGUUAAUUAAAGAGUACAGCAUGGAACGGAUGCCAGGUCAAUCUUUGGAGUGCACUUGCUAAGCUAUUGUUGGGGAAAAGUUGACCCUUUGCAGCACAUCCAUUUGGACAAUGGACUUUGCCACAGUGGUUUUGUAAAACAGAGGAAAAGAAAGCUAGAGAUAGGAGAGGAAGCAGCACUGAAGAGGACUGCAUUUAAUCGUACAAUACAUACAUAACAUAUGUGAUAUUGCAAAUUCUCUGUAAUAGAACAAGUAAACAAAUCAACCUUUGAAGGUUUUUACAAGUUUCUGAAAUUUCUCUUUUCUAUUUUUAAUCAGUAAAUAUUCUCUGAAUGCCUCUUACAUACAAAGUUUUAUUAGACACUGAGCAAAAUGCAAAGAUAAGAGGGUCAUCACCCAAAGAACUUACAAAAUAGAGUACUUUCUGUGAUGAUGAAAAUAUUCUCUAUCUGCACCAGCCAAUAGAGUUCUACAUGUAGAUAUUCAACACUGCAAAUGUGGCUUAAGUGCAGGUCUGUCUGGAAGGUAAGACAUCUUGCAGACUGCUUGUUUUUAUUACUUAAAGAUUUCCAAAUGUUGUCAAUGUUUUUCUUAUGCCACAUCAUUGUAACUCUCUCUGUCUCUCCCUCUCUCUCUCUCUCUCUCGCCCUCUCUCACUCUCUGUCUCAUUCACACACCCUACCCUGUUAUCUGUUCGGUGUAAUGUUCAUCAACUUAAACUGAUUUUCCUCAGGGCUGUGAUGAUCAACUUGGAGAGAUGAAACAUGUCAGAAUUUCUGGAGUGAGGAAGAGAAAACAGCUGCAUAAUAAACAUUAGAAUUUGUAAUAAGAAAAGGAACA
rnacentral:lncRNA from 12 species